rnacentral:rRNA from 1 species
CUAAGGUCUCCAGAGUAAAGCUGAUCUGCUCUGGGUAAGUCGGGGCCUAAGGAGAGGUCGCAAGACGUAUCCGAUGGACAACAGGUUUAGAUUCCUGUACCGCAUAUAAACAGAACUGUGGGGACGCAUGUGGAAAGCAUAAGCCGGGAAUGGAAAGACCGGUACAAGUGGGGUAGGUGUGUGACAGGCAAAUCCGUCACAUAAGCCGAAGACGUGAUGUGGAGCGAAAUUAAGUAGUGAAGUAUGUGAGCCAUGUGCCGAGAAAAGCCGCUAUUGUUUUAUAUGUGCCCGUACCGUAAACCGACACAGGUGGAUGAGGAGAGAAUCCUAAGGCCGACGGAAGAAGCAUUGUUAAGGAAUUCGGCAAAAUGACCCCGUAACUUCGGGAGAAGGGGUGCCCACUGAAUGGUGGGCCGCAGAGAAUAGGCUCAAGCAACUGUUUAGCAAAAACACAGGUCUAUGCGAAACCGAAAGGUGAAGUAUAUGGGCUGACGCCUGCCCGGUGCUGGAAGGUUAAGAGGAGAGGUUAGCGCAAGCGAAGCUUUGAAUUUAAGCCCCAGUAAACGGCGGCCGUAACAAUAACGGUCCUAAGGUAGCGAAAUUCCUUGUCGGGUAAGUUCCGACCCGCACGAAAGGCGUAAUGAUUUGAGCACUGUCUCGACAAUGCAUCCGGUGAAAUUGAAGUACCAGUGAAGAUGCUGGUUACCCGCGCCAGGACGGAAAGACCCCAUGGAGCUUUACUCCAGUUUGAUACUGGGAUUCGGUACUGCACGUACAGGAUAGGUGGGAGACUGAGAACUAUGGACGCCAGUCUGUAGGGAGUCGCUGUUGGGAUACUACCCCUGUAGUACUGGGUUUCUAACCAUCUGCCGUGAUCCGGCAGUGGGACAAUGUCAGGCGGGGAGUUUGACUGGGGCGGUCGCCUCCGAAAGGGUAUCGGAGGCGCUCAAAGGUUCCCUCAGAAUGGUCGGAAACCAUUUGAAGAGUGCAAAGGCAGAAGGGAGCUUGACUGCGACACCGACGGGUGGAGCAGGUACGAAAGUAGGACUUAGUGAUCCGGUGGUAUAAAGUGGGAUUGCCAUCGCUCAACGGAUAAAAGCUACCCUGGGAUAACAGGCUUAUCACUCCCAAGAGUUCACAUCGACGGAGUGGUUUGGCACCUCGAUGUCGGCUCAUCGCAUCCUGGGGCUGUAGCAGGUCCCAAGGGUUGGGCUGUUCGCCCAUUAAAGCGGUACGCGAGCUGGGUUCAGAACGUCGUGAGACAGUUCGGUCCCUAUCCGGCGCGGGCGGAGGAUAUUUGAGAGGAGCUGUCCUUAGUACGAGAGGACCGGGAUGGACGGACCACUGGUGUAUCUGUUGUCGACCAACGGCAUGGCAGAGUAGCCAAGUCUGGAAGGGAUAAACGCUGAAGGCAUCUAAGCGUGAAGCCCCCCUCAAGAUGAGAUAUCCCUCCUUCGGGAGUAAGACCCCUUGAAGACUACAAGGUAGAUAGGGCAGAGGUGGAAGUGUGGCAACACAUGGAGCUGACUGUUACUAAUAGGUCGAGGGCUUGAUAA